AUAUUCUAAAUGAUGACCUUAUAGUUCAGCUGAUGCUGAUAAUGAUGCCUUACUAUUGCAAUGUCUUUCGCUCCUAUCUGAUUUUAACUA